UUGCGGCUGUUUCCUAAAAAAAAAUUUGGCAUGUAAAUCCUAAGGAAUAUGACUUAAUACGCAGAUGGGAACAAUACGCAGAUUAAGAAGGUGUUUGUUUAGGGUGUGGUUGUCAGGCUUUUCUAUAAUAGGGUGAGGUCCACUUAGAAAUCAUUAUAACACAGCCGUUCCUUGUUUGAAGGUGUUUCCAAGUAUUCCAUGUUUUUCAUCUUCUCUUUCCAAGUAUUCCUUUUAAUGCAUAAAAUACAAUAAUGUAGUAUUAGUUAGACAUGCUCCUCUUUGCUUUGAGGGAUUCAAGAGCCUUAUUUCGCAGCUCAAUCAUAAGCUUAUUCAGCUUUUCAACCCUCCGCUCUUCCAUUUUUUGCAUCGCUCUUCUCGUUUUCGAUGCUUCUCCUCCUUUUUUCCCCUCUUGGCCUCUUUCCUGUCUUCUAACUCAGAAUCAGAACUAUAAUCCUCAUCAAAAGAUAUACUUUUUUCUUUGACCUUUUAUGCUUUCUCCUAUCCUUUCCAUCCCUUCUAUUCUUACCACUUUCUUCAUAAACAGAAUCAUAAACACUCUGAUUGACACAAUCAAUUCUUCCAACUAAAUCUUGAGCAUAAGAAUCACGAGGCUUCUGGCAGGAAAAAAAUUAUUUGUUCAUUGGUGACUUUUGUUGACUAGGAGACUCGCCUCCCUUGCCAGAAGAUUUAUCAUUGCCACAUGAGUUUACCAUUAUCAUAGAUGUACAGUGUAGUACGGGCAAUCAAAUUAGUCACAACAAGUGCAGUAUGGUGCUCUAAGAUUUUUGGUUGAAGUUAUUUUCAUUGGUUGGUUAGCUACUCUCUUUGUACGUAUUUUUCUAUUAAUCUCUUAUUGCCUCAUGAUGUGCAUAUAUAUAUUUCUUGUUUACAAUGGAUGAAACCAUAUUUAUUGUUUACAAUGUCCCCAUUUUCGUAUUUGAGAUUUUAUCGUCUAGAGGAAUGGGAAAAAAUGGCUUUUGGACAA